rnacentral:rRNA from 1 species
GACGAACGCUGGCGGCGUGCUUAACACAUGCAAGUCGAACGGAAAGGCCCUGCUUUUGUGGGGUGCUCGAGUGGCGAACGGGUGAGUAACACGUGAGUAACCUGCCCUUGACUUUGGGAUAACUUCAGGAAACUGGGGCUAAUACCGGAUAGGAGCUCCUGCUGCAUGGUGGGGGUUGGAAAGUUUCGGCGGUUGGGGAUGGACUCGCGGCUUAUCAGCUUGUUGGCGGGGUAGUGGCUUACCAAGGCUUUGACGGGUAGCCGGCCUGAGAGGGUGACCGGCCACAUUGGGACUGAGAUACGGCCCAGACUCCUACGGGAGGCAGCAGUGGGGAAUAUUGCACAAUGGGCGGGAGCCUGAUGCAGCAACGCCGCGUGCGGGAUGACGGCCUUCGGGUUGUAAACCGCUUUCGCCUGUGACGAAGCGUGAGUGACGGUAAUGGGUAAAGAAGCACCGGCUAACUACGUG